ACGUUGUCGUGUUUAUCGGCAUGUCGUCAAGCACGGCGCGGCCAUCUUUGGACGAGUCCACUAUGCCACCAAGUGGCACGUACGGCAUCGGAAAUUAAAAAUCUCAAAAGACACGCACCGGGAUACCUUGGCUUCUGAUUUCUUAUAACAAUCUACGAAUCGAUAUCCAUUUCUUGUCUGUCAAAUGCCAAGAAAUUUCUAGUGACGUACUUGCAGAGAGAAUCGCCUGAAAUGGUGCCGCGUGGGCGUUAGCUAGUCCCUCGCGUUUUGCACUCGUGGUUCUUCGAGAGGCCAGUGCCGUGAUAACAUAUUGCCCUAGCCUCGACAGUCUUUCUGGUGCGAUAAAAUUUUACAUACAAUGAACACUGAAUUCAAAGUGGUGCAGUAUAUUAGCUUGAAUAAGGGUCAUUUCCAAUAAAGAUCGAUAUUAAUUUGGAGAUUAUAAAAAUUCGUUCGCCAUAAGGACAGAGGGGGCCCUGGUGACCCACAGAUGGGAUCGAUCGAUGCCGUCCCUGAUUUCUGUGAUAAGUUUUCAUAUCUACUUUCACCCUGUGCCUCACAACGCACGCCACGACCAAUCCAAAGUGCGGAAUGUCGUACAGUAUCUAAGAUUAGGGGGCGCAGCGUGUAGCAUCGCGUCUUGCGACACGGCUUGUGCCUUCCUGAGGAUACGGCACUGGAUUGUGAGUGAGGUGGAGGGACCAAUAAGCCGACAGCCCAUGGAAUUCGCUUAUGUCGCUUUGCUAGAUGUUCAUCGUUCAUCGGCUUUCCUCGUGUCGCAAAAUACGAUGCGGCCUUACCCACCCUUGUACUAAACACUCACCAGUCCUGCUCAACACCCCACUAGAUGUUCUCCUGUCUCCUUUUCUCCUCCUGAUAUACCCUGCCGCCCAUCCAACAGCCUUUCUCUUUCUCCGAUCAAUAAAAUAGCCCAUCCACCGCGAAUGCUUAUCGCUCGUUUGAAUUUUAACAGCGGACCUUGCCAUGAAAGAAUACGACAUGGUUUAAUAAAUAAAAUGACUUUACUCUUGGCCUUGAAUUGUAACGUGGAUGCAGUUGCAUUUAGGUGCAUCGUAUCACGAGAUUAUUUUCUAUGUCUGUGAUGCUUCGGAAGUUUUGAGAAAGCUUAAUUGUUUUUUUUUUUGGAUUUAUCACUGUACUCCUGACUUUCAAUGCACGCUUGCAUCAUAGUUCUUCUUUAUUUAUUUGGUCAUCAUUUAUAUCUUGACGUUAUUUUCUGUUAUUCCUUUUCCUUGUUGUGAUAAUCUCCUAUCUUGUCAGAUCCAUAACAGUAUGAUAACAAUUUUUUUUUAAUUGUAAUAACUUUCUUGUUUACUUAUUGUAAACAAAUUAUUGACUCUAUUGUAAAUGUUGCAUUCGUUGUUUUG